rnacentral:rRNA from 1 species
CCUACGGGAGGCAGCAGUAAGGAAUCUUCCACAAUGGGCGAAAGUCUGAUGGAGCAACGCCGCGUGCAGGAUGAAGGCUUUCGGGUCGUAAACUGCUUUUAUAUGGGAAGAUUAUGACGGUACCGUAUGAAUAAGGACCGGCUAACUACGUGCCAGCAGCCGCGGUAAUACGUAGGGUCCAAGCGAUAUCCGGAAUUACUGGGCGUAAAGCGUGUGUAGGUGGAUUAAUAAGUGUGAUGCGAAAUCCGGCGGCUCAACCGUUUGGACUGUGUCGCAUACUGUUAGUCUAGAGGACGGCAGAGGUAAGUGGAAUUACGGGUGUAGCAGUGAAAUGCGUAGAUAUCCGUAGGAACACCAAUGGCGAAGGCAGCUUACUGGGCCACACCUGACACUGAGACACGAAAGCGUGGGGAGCGAACAGGAUUAGAUACCCUGGUAGUCCACGCCGUAAACGAUGCAUACUAUUAGUAUGGGGUAUCGACCCCCUGUGCUGAGAAGCUAACGCGAUAAGUAUGCCGCCUGGGGAGUACGAGCGCAGACUAAACUACAAGAAGUAGACGCGNGAGACGUGCCGACGGACGACGACGAGGGAGUAGG